rnacentral:rRNA from 1 species
AGUGAACGCUGGCGGUAGGCCUAACACAUGCAAGUCGAACGGCGGCACAGUUAGAUCUUGCUCUUACGGGUGGCGACUGGCGGUUGGUUGAGGAGUUCACCCACUCCCACUUUUACGUGGGCGAUAACGUAGGGCAUCUCACACUAAUACCGCUUACGACCUGCGGGUGAGUGCAGGGGAUCUUCGGACUUUUCUCGGUUCAAUGAUCCGGAGUGGGAUUAGCUAGUUGGCGGGGUAAAAGCCCACCAAGGCGACUAUUCGUAGCUGGUGUGAGGGGCUGAUCAGCGACACUGGAACUGAGACACGGUCCAGACUCCUACGGGAGGCAGCAGUGGGGAAUAUUGGACAAUGGGCGCAAGCCUGACCCAGCGAUAGCGCGUGGGUGACGAAGGCGUUGGGGUUGUGAAGCCCUUUUGUUGGGAAAGAACAGCUGCAGGUUAAUACCCCGCUGUUCUGACGGUACCUAAAGAAUAAGCACCGGCUAACUUCGUG